CACCGCCCGUCACAUCACGAAAGCUGGCUGUACUAGAAGUAGUGGCGCUAACCCGCAAGGGAGGCCCAUUCCUAAGGUAUGGUCAGUGAUUGGGGUG
rnacentral:rRNA from 1 species